rnacentral:rRNA from 1 species
AUUGAACGCUGGCGGAAUGCUUUACACAUGCAAGUCGAGCGGCAGCGCGGGGCAACCUGGCGGCGAGCGGCGAACGGGUGAGUAAUACAUCGGAACGUACCCAGUUGUGGGGGAUAGCCCGGCGAAAGCCGGAUUAAUACCGCAUACGACCGGAGGGUGAAAGGGGGGGAUCGCAAGACCUCUCGCAGUUGGAGCGGCCGAUGGCGGAUUAGCUAGUUGGUGGGGUAAAGGCCUACCAAGGCGACGAUCCGUAGCGGGUCUGAGAGGAGGACCCGCCACACUGGAACUGAGAAACGGUCCAGACUCCUACGGGAGGCAGCAGUGGGGAAUUUUGGACAAUGGGGGAAACCCUGAUCCAGCCAUUCCGCGUGAGUGAAGAAGGCCUUCGGGUUGUAAAGCUCUUUCGGCAGGAACGAAACGGUGGCCCCUAACACGGGUUGCUAAUGACGGUACCUGAAGAAGAAGCACCGGCUAACUACGUGCCAGCCGCCGCCGUAA